rnacentral:lncRNA from 1 species
UUGGUGUUUCAGUUCUUUUGUUAAAUCAGUUCAGUUGGCGACUUUGCAGUAGUUCGUGUGUGCGAAUUAGAGUGCACUCAAAGUAUCAAGCUAAUGAACAACCGUGCGAUACUUGAAUAUAUUCAUAUUUCAUAAUAACUCAAAAAAAAGAGCUCAAUUUGAUUGAAGUUCAGUGAUAUAUUCUAUAUAUGGGAAACUUACGGUAUAAACAAACGAAUCACUCAUACAACUGAGUCGCUCCAGUACGUUCACUUAAAAGAGUCGUUCAGAAGAUCGAAUCGACACAACACUCGUGUGACUCACCACUGCAGCUUAGGAUAAAUUAAUUAAUAAUAUUUCAUCUUUACUAAUUAAGAUAUUUGUAAGUUAGUAAUUAUUAUUAUCUACACAUAUGCCAUCGUGUUGUGUUGUCCCUGGGUGCUCGGGAAGAGGAUCAUAUCGAUUCCCGUCAAAUAAAAGUAUAUGUCUUAAAUGGCGGAUUGCUCUGUGCAGAGAAGAUGAUAAUGGUUCACUCUGGAGGCCAUCACUAAACUCUGUAUUAUGUGGAAAACACUUCAAGCCAGAAGAUUUCCGAGUGCCAAGGCAAACUCAAGCUUCUGGGCGAGGAAAAGUAUAUCGUCAUUUGAAACAAGAUGCAGUCCCAUCUCUUUUUCCUUGGUCUAAAGCACUACAUACAUAUGGAAGUAAAAAAUAAUAUGCAAUUAUUGAUCAAUGUGACUGCUGACUCCCGACUUACUCAUCCGCCAUAAUUAUUUAUUCAUGAGAAUUAGAUGUACCUAGUUACUAAAAAUUACAUUAUUUUGAUCCUUUUAAGCUCAUGAAUGGGGAUAUAUAUAACUGUUACAGUCUGACUGAUGUUUCAAAUUGGAUAGAUUUCGGCACCAAUUAUAAGGAUCUUGUUCAUCUCAAUUUAUAUUAUUAAUCGACAUAAUAAUGUGGCAAUAUUUCAUAUUAUUUGAAUAAAACUUAUUCUAAUUCCAA